rnacentral:rRNA from 1 species
UACGGGGGGGGCAAGCGUUGUUCGGAAUUACUGGGCGUAAAGGGCUCGUAGGCGGCCAACUAAGUCGGAUGUGAAAUCCCCAGGCUUAACCUGGGAACUGCAUCCGAUACUGGAUGGCUUGAAUCCGGGAGAGGGAUGCGGAAUUCCAGGUGUAGCGGUGAAAUGCGUAGAUAUCGGAAGGAACACCAGUGGCGAAAGCGGCUUCCUGGUCCAGCACCGACGUUCAGGCACGAAAGCGUGGGGGAGCAAACAGG